GGCAACGGCCAUACCACGAUGUAAAAUACCAGUUCUCGUCCGAUCACUGAAGUCAAGCAUCGUCGGGCGCGGUUAAUAGUACUUGUAGUCC
rnacentral:rRNA from 14 species